UACGUAGGUGGCAAGCGUUGUCCGGAAUCAUUGGGCGUAAAGAGCGCGUAGGCGGCCCUGUAAGUCCGCUGUGAAAGUCAAGGGCUCAACCCUUGGAUGCCGGUGGAUACUGCAGGGCUAGAGUCCGGAAGGGGCGAGUGGAAUUCCUGGUGUAGCGGUGAAAUGCGCAGAUAUCAGGAGGAACACCGAUGGCGAAGGCAGCUCGCUGGGACGGUACUGACGCUGAGGCGCGAAAGCGUGGGGAGCAAACAGG
rnacentral:rRNA from 1 species